rnacentral:lncRNA from 1 species
ACGAGGGAGAUUUCUGGGCUAAAGGUUUUCUAACCCUUUGGGUAUAGUUCCAAAUUGUUCUUCAGAAUGGCAAAACUAGUUCACAACUCCAUCAAUAGCACAUUAAUGUCCCAACUCUUCCGCAUGCCCUUUGGCAUUUGUCAUUAUCCCUUUCUGUCAUGUUAGCUAAUGUGAUAGGCAUGAAGUAGUGCCUCAGAGUUAUUUUAAUUUGCAUUUCUCUAAUCAAGAGUGAUUUAGAGUAUUUUUCCCCAUAUAAGUAGAACGAGGUAUCUUUUGAGGCAGCUCCUGGCUUCUUAUAGCCUUGGCGGUGACAAAAGGAUUUGGCCCUUUGUUAUUGGUACUUUAAUUUUGCCCUUCUCCAACCAUCCUUCCCUCUCCUGACAGCAGCAAGAGUGCAGGUUGCUUCAUCAAUUAAAAGAAAAGAUAUCUUUCAGCUUACUUUCUUCCUUUGCCUCUUUUAUGGAAGGUAGUACACCCCAUUCCUGGACUUCCCAUCACUGGACGUGCUUAUGGAACCAAAAAGAUGGAGAUGGAAAAAGGCAUUGGAUUUCUGAAACCAAAAAGACACUUUCUGGUCACUAGAAUCUCCCUUCAAACUACUCAUCUGUAUGAGCUACAUCUCCCAUGGAACAAAAGCACAAAACAGAACUCCGGAAUUGAACAGAAGGCUUAGAGCAGCGGUUCUCAACCUGUGGGUUGCGACCCCGGCAGGGGUCAAAUGACCAAAACACAGGGGUCGCCUAAAGCCAUUGGAAAAAUAAAUAUUUCCGAUGGCUUAAGCCGCUGAGAAAU